ACAAGCUUUCGGGAGAACCUCCCUUUCUCAAGACUUGAAACUUCAGACUUGAGAAAGGGAGGUUUUCCUGAAAGCUUG